UAAUUCUUCUAUAGAUUGUUG
ensembl:piRNA 21ur-11749 ncRNA